GAUGAACGCUGGCGGCGUGCCUAAUACAUGCAAGUCGAGCGAACGGACGAGAAGCUUGCUUCUCUGAUGUUAGCGGCGGACGGGUGAGUAACACGUGGAUAACCUACCUAUAAGACUGGGAUAACUUCGGGAAACCGGAGCUAAUACCGGAUAAUAUUUUGAACCGCAUGGUUCAAAAGUGAAAGACGGUCUUGCUGUCACUUAUAGAUGGAUCCGCGCUGCAUUAGCUAGUUGGUAAGGUAACGGCUUACCAAGGCAACGAUGCAUAGCCGACCUGAGAGGGUGAUCGGCCACACUGGAACUGAGACACGGUCCAGACUCCUACGGGAGGCAGCAGUAGGGAAUCUUCCGCAAAGGGCGAAAGCUUGACGGAGCAACGCCGCGUGAGUGAUGAAGGUCUUCGGAUCGUAAAACUCUGUUAUUAGGGAAGAACAUAUGUGUAAGUAACUGUGCACAUCUUGACGGUACCUAAUCAGAAAGCCACGGCUAACUACGUG
rnacentral:rRNA from 1 species